rnacentral:lncRNA from 1 species
CUGAGAAUGAAAACGGGGAAUGUGUCAAAGAGACAACAACCCGACCAAAGAGCAGAUGACAGCCGAAGGAUGUAGACCAAAUGGACUGACGGACUUAUGGAUUAAGAUACAAGAAUAUAAAGGAAACACAGAAUUUCAAACUGAACAGAUUAUUUAUAGAUGAAUAUAACUGAAGGUAUAUGGACAAAAGAAAAGACUUGUUUAAUGUAUACAAUGGUGGUAAGCGUCCUAUUAAAUUGAUAUGGGAGUAAUCUACGACUAUAUACAUCUAUUCUUGGCCUAGCAGGCACUUUAUGUAAUAUCGGUGUCGAGAUUUGUAUGUGCUUUUUUUUAAACUUGCAUUUGCUUGACUAGUUAAACUACCUGUAACUAAGAGAAGUAUGGACAAAACAUAUUAUUACUUUCAUUAUGACCAAAC